UACGAAGGGUGCAAGCGUUAAUCGGAAUUACUGGGCGUAAAGCGUGCGUAGGCGGUUUCUUAAGUCUGCUGUGAAAGCCCCGGGCUCAACCUGGGAAUUGCAGUCGAGACUGCUCAGCUAGAGUGUGGGGGAGGGUGGUGGAAUUCCCGGUGUAGCGGUGAAAUGCGCAGAUAUCAGGAGGAACACCAAUGGCGAAGGCAGCUCGCUGGGACGGUACUGACGCUGAGACGCGAAAGCGUGGGGAGCAAACAGG
rnacentral:rRNA from 1 species